UACGAAGGGGGCUAGCGUUGCUCGGAAUCACUGGGCGUAAAGGGCGCGUAGGCGGCCAUUCAAGUCGGGGGUGAAAGCCUGUGGCUCAACCACAGAAUUGCCUUCGAUACUGUUUGGCUUGAGACCGGAAGAGGUUAGUGGAACUGCGAGUGUAGAGGUGAAAUUCGUAGAUAUUCGCAAGAACACCAGUGGCGAAGGCGGCUAACUGGUCCGGUUCUGACGCUGAGGCGCGAAAGCGUGGGGAGCGAACAGG
rnacentral:rRNA from 1 species